rnacentral:rRNA from 1 species
GGAGUUAGCCGGUGCUUCUUCUGCGAGUAACGUCACAGAUGUAAGGUAUUAACUUACACCCUUUCCUCCUCGCUGAAAGUGCUUUACAACCCGAAGGCCUUCUUCACACACGCGGCAUGGCUGCAUCAGGGUUUCCCCCAUUGUGCAAUAUUCCCCACUGCUGCCUCCCGUAGGAGUCUGGGCCGUGUCUCAGUCCCAGUGUGGCUGAUCAUCCUCUCAGACCAGCUAGGGAUCGUCGCCUAGGUGAGCCUUUACCUCACCUACUAGCUAAUCCCACCUGGGCUUAUCCAUCAGCGCAAGGCCCGAAGGUCCCCUGCUUUCCCCCGUAGGGCGUAUGCGGUAUUAGCAGUCGUUUCCAACUGUUAUCCCCCACAAAUGGGCAAAUUCCCAGGCAUUACUCACCCGUCCGCCGCUCGUCAUCUUCAAAAGCAAGCUUUUGAAAUGUUACCGCUCGACUUGCAUGUGUUAGGCCUGCCGCCAGCGUUCAAUCUGAGCCAUAAUCAAAACUCUGA